rnacentral:rRNA from 1 species
GCUGGCGGCGUGCCUAAUACAUGCAAGUCGAGCGAACGGACGAGAAGCUUGCUUCUCUGAUGUUAGCGGCGGACGGGUGAGUAACACGUGGAUAACCUACCUAUGAGACUGGGAAAACUUCGGGAAACCGGAGCUAAUACCGGAUAAUAUUUUGAACCGCAUGGUUCAAAAGUGAAAGACGGUCUUGCUGUCACUUAUAGAUGGAUCCGCGCUGCAUUAGCUAGUUGGUAAGGUAACGGUUUACCAAGGCAACGAUGCAUAGCCGACCUGAGAGGGUGAUCGGCCACACUGGAACUGAGACACGGUCCAGACUCCUACGGGAGGCAGCAGUAGGGAAUCUUCCGCAAUGGGCGAAAGCCUGACGGAGCAACGCCGCGUGAGUGAUGAAGGUCUUCGGAUCGUAAAACUCUGUUAUUAGGGAAGAACAUAUGUGUAAGUAACUGUGCACAUCUUGACGGUACCUAAUCAGAAAGCCACGGCUAACUACGUGCCAGCAGCCGCGGUAAUACGUAGGUGGCAAGCGUUAUCCGGAAUUAUUGGGCGUAAAGCGCGCGUAGGCGGUUUUUUAAGUCUGAUGUGAAAGCCCACGGCUCAACCGUGGAGGGUCAUUGGAAACUGGAAAACUUGAGUGCAGAAGAGGAAAGUGGAAUUCCAUGUGUAGCGGUGAAAUGCGCAGAGAUAUGGAGGAACACCAGUGGCGAAGGCGACUUUCUGGUCUGUAACUGACGCUGAUGUGCGAAAGCG